rnacentral:rRNA from 1 species
UACGUAGGCAGCAAGCGUUGUCCGGAUUCAUUGGGCGUAAAGAGCUCGUAGGCGGCUUGGCAAGUCGGAUGUGAAAACUCCAGGCUCAACCUGGAGCCGCCAUUCGAUACUGCUAUGGCUAGAGUCCGGUAGGGGAGUGUGGAAUUCCCGGUGUAGCGGUGAAAUGCGCAGAUAUCGGGAGGAACACCGAUGGCGAAGGCAGCACUCUGGGCCGGCACUGACGCUGAGGAGCGAAAGCGUGGGGAGCGAACAGG